rnacentral:lncRNA from 1 species
AGUUUCCGCACCGCUGACGCAUGCCUGCGCGCACAGCUGGGCCGGGCGCGUCCUACGCAGCAGCCGCGAGCCGGGCUGCGGGUGCCAGACGGUUCCCGGCGGGGGGCAGGGGCGGGGCGCCGCAGGAGGCCGGGACUCCUGGCGGAGGAGCCCCAAGGAGGCCCGCCUGACGACUGACCAGUUGCCAUGGCAUCCUACUACGAGAUCCUAGACGUGCCGCGAAGUGCGUCCGCUGAUGACAUCAAGAAGGCGUAAGUGCCUCCGUAUGCAACAGAAGACCUCUCACCCUCCACCCGCCACCACCAUGGGGCACUUCAGAGUGACACCUGUAGGUGUCUGAGGGAACCAGGUCGUUAGAAAGCACUGGGGUGCUUCUUCCGAGUGACACCUGCAGGGAGGAAAGAGACCCCUGGUAGAGUACAAGGAGAACGUCCAGAGAGUGAAGUAGUUAGUUCCUCUGGGAGCUGCACUGUGUUAUGGGUUGUUCUCCAGUUGAUCUUCCCCUCCUCCUCCUCCUCCUCCU